CAGUGUGAGGAACGUUCCGGAAGAGACACCCGGCGCUCAUCAAGCGAUUUAGAGGGUAUUGAUGGGGUUCUAGUUGUGAUGAACGGCUAGGAAUAGGGAGAGAACCCAACGGUUGUGAUUAAAUUUAUUUAGUUUAAAAGGGAGGUAGUGAUAGGAAGAAAGGGGAGGAAAAGAAAGAGGGUGUGAAAUAGGAGAGGAACAAGUUGAGGAAGGGAGGAGAAACAGAAGAAGAUAGCAACAAAACGGAUUUUUAUUGAGGGUCGAAGGGUUGAAGCCCCGAAGAACUCUGAGUAAUGCUCGCUGCAUAUGUGGUGUCUGUGUGUAUGCAUCCUCUGCACUCUCGGGAAGGGAAGCCAGUAACAAAGUUGACCCAUUAUGUGAGUGGGUCGAGGGAUUGAGAUCCUGGUGUUCUCUGUUUUUCUUCUCUUUAUAUAUGAAUUAGCAUGGCACAUUUGGGAGACAGAAUGUGACUGGUAUGGGGGUCGUUUCACUGGAGAAUGCUGGAAGACUGUGUAUAAAGGGAAGUGGCCUGGUAGGAGGCUGGAGGUAAAGAGGAAGUCAGAGGGAUAAUUAUAGGGUAGUAGGAAAUUAAAAUGAUGCCUAACUGCAUAUAAUUUUGGGAGAUGUAGAGGGAUAGGAAAGGGAAAUAUUAAUGGCAGUAUGGUUACUGAUUUGAAGCAAUAUAUGAAACAAUAGGGGCUUAAGGGGAAAUCUGCUACUAGAGUCGGGUAUGAUGAGAUAGAGAACACCAGCACAGCAAUGAAAAGAGGUUGAGGGAAUUCUGAUUUAGGAAUUGUACUGCAUUCAAUACCCUGUUUGAGAAUCUAAAUUUGACCUUACUGGGCAUUGUAGGUUCAUUAUUGUGUUAUUUUCAUACAUAGUGAAACCUAAACACGAACAGGAGAUACCACUAGUAGAUUCUACCACUUAAGGGAGGGAAGGCAUGUCCAGGGAACAAGACUCGGGAGUAUGACACCAUACCCACACACUGAAUUAAUCCACAUUUAGCACUUAACACUGUUGUUAUAACGACGAUAUUGGGAAAAGUCUUUACAGAUUGCUUUCGAGAAACUAUUAUAUAAUUUGUAUUCACAUCACUAGAUGGAAAUGAAAUUAUAAAAUCUUGUUAAUAGAUAAAUGACUUCAUCACUUCAUGA